rnacentral:rRNA from 1 species
AGAAUCAACGCUGGCGGCGUGCCUAACACAUGCAAGUCGCACGAGAAAGGGGAGCAAUCCCUAAGUAAAGUGGCGCACGGGUGAGUAACACGUGAAUCAUCUACCUCCGAGUGGGGAAUAACCUAGAGAAAUCUGGGCUAAUACCGCAUAACACUUACGAGUCAAAGCAGCAAUGCGCUUGGAGAGGAGUUCGCGGCCGAUUAGCUAGUUGGCGGGGUAAUGGCCCACCAAGGCGAUGAUCGGUAUCCGGCCUGAGAGGGCGCACGGACACACUGGAACUGAAACACGGUCCAGACUCCUACGGGAGGCAGCAGUGGGGAAUUUUGCGCAAUGGGGGAAACCCUGACGCAGCAACGCCGCGUGGAGGAUGAAGUAUCUUGGUACGUAAACUCCUUUCGAUGGGGAAGAUAAUGACGGUACCCAUAGAAGAAGCCCCGGCUAACUUCGUGCCAGCAGCCGC